rnacentral:rRNA from 1 species
UGCGUUGUUGGGUAGGGGAGCGUUCUGUAAGCCUGUGAAGGUGUGCUGUGAGGCAUGCUGGAGGUAUCAGAAGUGCGAAUGCUGACAUAAGUAACGAUAAAGCGGGUGAAAAGCCCGCUCGCCGGAAGACCAAGGGUUCCUGUCCAACGUUAAUCGGGGCAGGGUGAGUCGACCCCUAAGGCGAGGCCGAAAGGCGUAGUCGAUGGGAAACAGGUUAAUAUUCCUGUACUUGGUGUUACUGCGAAGGGGGGACGGAGAAGGCUAUGUUGGCCGGGCGACGGUUGUCCCGGUUUAAGCGUGUAGGCUGGUUUUCCAGGCAAAUCCGGAAAAUCAAGGCUGAGGCGUGAUGACGAGGCACUACGGUGCUGAAGCAACAAAUGCCCUGCUUCCAGGAAAAGCCUCUAAGCAUCAGGUAACAUCAAAUCGUACCCCAAACCGACACAGGUGGUCAGGUAGAGAAUACCAAGGCGCUUGAGAGAACUCGGGUGAAGGAACUAGGCAAAAUGGUGCCGUAACUUCGGGAGAAGGCACGCUGAUAUGUAGGUGAAGUCCCUCGCGGAUGGAGCUGAAAUCAGUCGAAGAUACCAGCUGGCUGCAACUGUUUAUUAAAAACACAGCACUGUGCAAACACGAAAGUGGACGUAUACGGUGUGACGCCUGCCCGGUGCCGGAAGGUUAAUUGAUGGGGUUAGCGCAAGCGAAGCUCUUGAUCGAAGCCCCGGUAAACGGCGGCCGUAACUAUAACGGUCCUAAGGUAGCGAAAUUCCUUGUCGGGUAAGUUCCGACCUGCACGAAUGGCGUAAUGAUGGCCAGGCUGUCUCCACCCGAGACUCAGUGAAAUUGAACUCGCUGUGAAGAUGCAGUGUACCCGCGGCAAGACGGAAAGACCCCGUGAACCUUUACUAUAGCUUGACACUGAACAUUGAGCCUUGAUGUGUAGGAUAGGUGGGAGGCUUUGAAGUGUGGACGCCAGUCUGCAUGGAGCCGACCUUGAAAUACCACCCUUUAAUGUUUGAUGUUCUAACGUUGACCCGUAAUCCGGGUUGCGGACAGUGUCUGGUGGGUAGUUUGACUGGGGCGGUCUCCUCCUAAAGAGUAACGGAGGAGCACGAAGGUUGGCUAAUCCUGGUCGGACAUCAGGAGGUUAGUGCAAUGGCAUAAGCCAGCUUGACUGCGAGCGUGACGGCGCGAGCAGGUGCGAAAGCAGGUCAUAGUGAUCCGGUGGUUCUGAAUGGAAGGGCCAUCGCUCAACGGAUAAAAGGUACUCCGGGGAUAACAGGCUGAUACCGCCCAAGAGUUCAUAUCGACGGCGGUGUUUGGCACCUCGAUGU